rnacentral:rRNA from 1 species
UUAAGCGACUAAGCGUACACGGUGGAUGCCCUGGCAGUCAGAGGCGAUGAAGGACGUGCUAAUCUGCGAUAAGCGUCGGUAAGGUGAUAUGAACCGUUAUAACCGGCGAUUUCCGAAUGGGGAAACCCAGUGUGUUUCGACACACUAUCAUUAACUGAAUCCAUAGGUUAAUGAGGCGAACCGGGGGAACUGAAACAUCUAAGUACCCCGAGGAAAAGAAAUCAACCGAGAUUCCCCCAGUAGCGGCGAGCGAACGGGGAGCAGCCCAGAGCCUGAAUCAGUGUGUGUGUUAGUGGAAGCGUCUGGAAAGGCGCGCGAUACAGGGUGACAGCCCCGUACACAAAAAUGCACAUGCUGUGAGCUCGAUGAGUAGGGCGGGACACGUGGUAUCCUGUCUGAAUAUGGGGGGACCAUCCUCCAAGGCUAAAUACUCCUGACUGACCGAUAGUGAACCAGUACCGUGAGGGAAAGGCGAAAAGAACCCCGGCGAGGGGAGUGAAAAAGAACCUGAAACCGUGUACGUACAAGCAGUGGGAGCACGCUUCGGCGUGUGACUGCGUACCUUUUGUAUAAUGGGUCAGCGACUUAUAUUCUGUAGCAAGGUUAACCGAAUAGGGGAGCCGAAGGGAAACCGAGUCUUAACUGGGCGUUAAGUUGCAGGGUAUAGACCCGAAACCCGGUGAUCUAGCCAUGGGCAGGUUGAAGGUUGGGUAACACUAACUGGAGGACCGAACCGACUAAUGUUGAAAAAUUAGCGGAUGACUUGUGGCUGGGGGUGAAAGGCCAAUCAAACCGGGAGAUAGCUGGUUCUCCCCGAAAGCUAUUUAGGUAGCGCCUCGUGAAUUCAUCUCCGGGGGUAGAGCACUGUUUCGGCAAGGGGGUCAUCCCGACUUACCAACCCGAUGCAAACUGCGAAUACCGGAGAAUGUUAUCACGGGAGACACACGGCGGGUGCUAACGUCCGUCGUGAAGAGGGAAACAACCCAGACCGCCAGCUAAGGUCCCAAAGUCAUGGUUAAGUGGGAAACGAUGUGGGAAGGCCCAGACAGCCAGGAUGUUGGCUUAGAAGCAGCCAUCAUUUAAAGAAAGCGUAAUAGCUCACUGGUCGAGUCGGCCUGCGCGGAAGAUGUAACGGGGCUAAACCAUGCACCGAAGCUGCGGCAGCGACGCUGAUGCGUUGUUGGGUAGGGGAGCGUUCUGUAAGCCUGUGAAGGUGUGCUGUGAGGCAUGCUGGAGGUAUCAGAAGUGCGAAUGCUGACAUAAGUAACGAUAAAGCGGGUGAAAAGCCCGCUCGCCGGAAGACCAAGGGUUCCUGUCCAACGUUAAUCGGGGCAGGGUGAGUCGACCCCUAAGGCGAGGCCGAAAGGCGUAGUCGAUGGGAAACAGGUUAAUAUUCCUGUACUUGGUGUUACUGCGAAGGGGGGACGGAGAAGGCUAUGUUGGCCGGGCGACGGUUGUCCCGGUUUAAGCGUGUAGGCUGGUUUUCCAGGCAAAUCCGGAAAAUCAAGGCUGAGGCGUGAUGACGAGGCACUACGGUGCUGAAGCAACAAAUGCCCUGCUUCCAGGAAAAGCCUCUAAGCAUCAGGUAACAUCAAAUCGUACCCCAAACCGACACAGGUGGUCAGGUAGAGAAUACCAAGGCGCUUGAGAGAACUCGGGUGAAGGAACUAGGCAAAAUGGUGCCGUAACUUCGGGAGAAGGCACGCUGAUAUGUAGGUGAAGUCCCUCGCGGAUGGAGCUGAAAUCAGUCGAAGAUACCAGCUGGCUGCAACUGUUUAUUAAAAACACAGCACUGUGCAAACACGAAAGUGGACGUAUACGGUGUGACGCCUGCCCGGUGCCGGAAGGUUAAUUGAUGGGGUUAGCGCAAGCGAAGCUCUUGAUCGAAGCCCCGGUAAACGGCGGCCGUAACUAUAACGGUCCUAAGGUAGCGAAAUUCCUUGUCGGGUAAGUUCCGACCUGCACGAAUGGCGUAAUGAUGGCCAGGCUGUCUCCACCCGAGACUCAGUGAAAUUGAACUCGCUGUGAAGAUGCAGUGUACCCGCGGCAAGACGGAAAGACCCCGUGAACCUUUACUAUAGCUUGACACUGAACAUUGAGCCUUGAUGUGUAGGAUAGGUGGGAGGCUUUGAAGUGUGGACGCCAGUCUGCAUGGAGCCGACCUUGAAAUACCACCCUUUAAUGUUUGAUGUUCUAACGUUGACCCGUAAUCCGGGUUGCGGACAGUGUCUGGUGGGUAGUUUGACUGGGGCGGUCUCCUCCUAAAGAGUAACGGAGGAGCACGAAGGUUGGCUAAUCCUGGUCGGACAUCAGGAGGUUAGUGCAAUGGCAUAAGCCAGCUUGACUGCGAGCGUGACGGCGCGAGCAGGUGCGAAAGCAGGUCAUAGUGAUCCGGUGGUUCUGAAUGGAAGGGCCAUCGCUCAACGGAUAAAAGGUACUCCGGGGAUAACAGGCUGAUACCGCCCAAGAGUUCAUAUCGACGGCGGUGUUUGGCACCUCGAUGUCGGCUCAUCACAUCCUGGGGCUGAAGUAGGUCCCAAGGGUAUGGCUGUUCGCCAUUUAAAGUGGUACGCGAGCUGGGUUUAGAACGUCGUGAGACAGUUCGGUCCCUAUCUGCCGUGGGCGCUGGAGAACUGAGGGGGGCUGCUCCUAGUACGAGAGGACCGGAGUGGACGCAUCACUGGUGUUCGGGUUGUCAUGCCAAUGGCACUGCCCGGUAGCUAAAUGCGGAAGAGAUAAGUGCUGAAAGCAUCUAAGCACGAAACUUGCCCCGAGAUGAGUUCUCCCUGACUCCUUGAGAGUCCUGAAGGAACGUUGAAGACGACGACGUUGAUAGGCCGGGUGUGUAAGCGCAGCGAUGCGUUGAGCUAACCGGUACUAAUGAACCGUGAGGCUUAACCUU